UCUUUCCCAGGAACAGUCAAAAGGAAACACUUAACGAACAAUGGAUCUUGGAAGACUCCAAUCCACAUAAGAAGUCUACUUGAGGACGUUCAAAGUAGCAUGUGAACCAUGGCUACUACCUCUGGCUCAAGAGAUAGCCUCUCCACCCCCAAGGAUACCUGAAAGAAACUGGAACAAAGGACAGUAACUACAGGAGGUGUGAGUGAUUGCUGGACCCAGACUAGAAGGAGACUAGUCUGUAAAAGGAAGCUUACCGGAACACCUCUGAGGAUUUUUCCAUCUUCUACAGCAUGUGAAAGAAACAGGUCAACAUAUGGAAAUAUACACACACAAUCAAGGCUAAUGUGAAAAAGUUGAGAAGUCUAUUUCAAUUUGGACAAAUCUUCAGUUUAAUGAAAAGUCCAGAAUCAGAAGUUGUGGAUCUUUCAGACAAAUGGAUUUUGAUUAGAGAAGUCACAAGGAAAAACUUGAGCUAUGCUAGCACUUACAAGAUAUUAGUAACCAAGCUGUUUAAGUAUUAGUAUAAUUCGUUACUUAUAGGAUGGCUUGCUUUGCCUACUAUCAUGACACUUAUUCAAUAUAUGAUGAUAAUGCACUAUUAAAGAGUCUGAUGUUUACUUUAAAGUUUGGAUAUAUACCCAAAUUUACUGUUGGUCCUUACUAUUGUCCUGUGUUAACUACAUUAUAAUGAAUAUGCAUAAGGAUGGUCUUUUCCUGAGCUUUUUCUGUAGAGGCAAGAGUUUCUUCUGAAUCUGCAUUGGAACAUCAGGUCUCUAUGUACGUACUAUUUCAGAGUUCUACAGAGAUAGCCUUCCUUUUUGUAUAUCAGUCAACAAUAUUGAUACUUUCUACUUUCAACAUUUUCCCCUAUUUUAGAGAUGCAUCAACAGGGGGAAAAAAUACAUUUAAGUACCUUAGGAUGCGGCUCCAUCUCUAAUACUAAAUAUCUUUGUCAUUAUUCAAAGUAAGGAAUUUAUACUUAUUUCAUAAAUAUACCUAGCAGUGCUUUCUAUGUGUUAACUAACUUAUAAAUAAUACAUCUCAUUCUUAAAGAAGUAAAUAAAGUUUAGUUUUGAGAAGCAAGUA